AUCCCUGUUAUUAUAUUUUAUUUGUUUAUUAUAUGGAGAUGUGGGAGAGGAAUCCUUGGAUGGAAAUACUGAAAAAUGCUGAUCUUCCUAUUGGAGGAAAGCUUCUGUUUUGCCUGCCUUGGGUGCUGGAUCAAGGUAUUAAAACAGCAGUGGAGCAGCAGAUGCUAUACCUUGCAUAUUGCUAAAGAUGCUACCUACGCAGUUCCUAAAAACACGAGCCCUUCUAAUGGGAAGAAGCAGAAAAACUCCCAUUGACUUCAGUUGGGUAUAGAUUUCAGGUGGCAAACAGAGUGGUGGUACUUUCUGGUUUACAGUAGCUUUGACUUCUCUUUUGUACUUUAUAAAACAGUUACAUUCCGUAUAUAAAAGUGUCUGCUUUGCAUUAAAAGCAAGUUUUCUUUUUAAGCAAGUUGAAUAAACCUCCUUUAAAUAGAUGAGACUGUUGGUACCGGGAGCUGUGACUUAGUGUAUAUUCUUUCAACAUUUUCAAAUGCUCAUUACAAUUCCUACUUAUUUUAUAGCAAUAUCACACAAUAAACAUUUCUUUUCUGAUUAAGGGAUUGAAAGAGAACUGAAUUAUAAACAGUAUUAAUAUAAAAGGGAAUUUCUAUCCGGUGCUCUGUAGGCCUGAGUUUAUUUGACCUUAAACAAUCAGUCAGAAGAAGUCACAUCAGCUGCUGUACACAUUCCACAUUACGGAGGAAUUAAAUUAAGCAGCUUUAAUAUCUGUGAAAUGGCACAGGACUGAAAGAGAAUCGUUCCAAUUUAUGGAAUUUGUAUCUGAUUUACUAGUGCAUGUCUAGCAAUUCCAGAGCCACCAAUUGCUUUAAGACCACCUCCAAAGUGUUUUUAUCACUUACAGUAAAUGUGCUAACAUCGUGUUUUAAUUAAACAUUUAAAGUGCAUCAAACAAAUUUAUUGAUGCUGCCAGAAGAGGCAAAAAGGAAGGCAAAAAAAAAAAAAGAAGAAUUUCUGCUAUUUGCAAAAUGCCCUGGUGUACGCAUGAUGGUGUGACCCUGCUAAGACUGCCCUCAAACAUUCCAGCUAAUGUCUAUAAAUUAGCAACUGCUUCCCCUCCCCUCCAGUCCCUCGUUUUCCAUCCCCAACCCCCCAAAUCAUACUUUGUGCAUAAAAACAUGGCAAGAGCUUGUUGAAAGCCAUUCAGCUAUAAUAUCAAAUGGUUGUGAACACUGCAUUUAUUUUUGCUCCUUGAACGCAGGCCUGAUAUUGAAAUGAUAUAAAAGUCCCAGCAGCGCUUUAUAUUGAUGUUGGCAUUAAAAAUGCUUUUUCUGUUAGUGAGAGAGAAGUUUCCCCCUUAAAAAAAAUAAAAGCCAAUACCGGGCCUAUCAAAACUUUAUCAUCCUGUUACCACUUGGGCACAGUAUUAAAUAUUCAGAACUGGAGCUGGUUUUCAUUAGAAAUCCUUUUCCCUUCUGCACUGGGGAUCGCAGACCCGCGAUGGGUCCAGAAUUCCUACAAUCCUUUAAAAAAGAGGAAAGUAGGCAUGGCAUUGCCAUCACCUGCAAAGACAUGCUUGGAUUUCAGCCCCAAGCUCGCGGGACUGAUGCGGGGUGGCAGGGGCAGAGGUUGGCCUGGGAGCACCGCCGGCCUCACCACCUCCUCCAGUCCUGCUCAUUGCUGCAGGAUGGGGGACCUCAGGGAACGUGGCCCAGCGGUUCAGUGUGGAGAGGCAAUCUGCAGAGGGCUACGUGAUGAUUUAUGCUUUAUGGCACCAAAACUACGGGCAUGUUUUUUGUGUGCAUAAUAUAGCUUGGGUUUCCUUAGGAGGGGAAGAGUAUUUUGUCUUCCUGAGUAACCAUUUGUUUUAGAGACUGAUGAUGGUGGCAGGUUUGCCUUCUUACAUAUCCAUUCUCACAUAUAUCUGUUGUUGUAUUUAGCUGUUCUCUCAUAUGCAGUGGGUCAUAAUAUGAACAGAAAGCAUAUUUCUGUACCAAACAGACGUACGCAUGCUGGUGCCUAGAGAUAGGUGUCUAAGCAGUUCUUGUUGAGGUCAGUUGCCUGCUAACAAGCUGAUAUACAAAUGUAAAGUGCAUUUCAUUUUUAUUAUGUUAUAUUACAUAUCAUCUUCGAUUGAAUUUGCUCUGUUUGUUCAAACCCAAUAACUGUAAACAUCACGUGGCUGGAGGGGAAACAAGCAAGGAACCCGAUAGCUGCUGGAUCUGCCAGGAAACUGGCAAGGCAGAACUCAGAAUGCUGUGGCACAGCUGAGAAUGGCUAUUGCUGGGAGACUGUGACUUUUAUUCAGAGAAAAAAAUAAAUAAGGGUGAGUAAUGUUAUCUCUAGGGAUCACAAUCCUUAUUUUUGCACGCCAUUCGGUCACAGACUGUGUGAAAGAUAGCGUGGUGUCCAACACAGCAGGACAAGUGUCUUAAUGGUGGUUAUUCACUGAUAUCCUUUGUGAUCUCCUGUCCUGCACUGACUCAUCCCAGCUUGCAGGAGACAAUCCCAACGCAGGGUGUUUCAUGGUUACCUCGUGGUCCACGUCUAUUUUUGUAUCUGUUGUCUCCUGCUUUAUACUUAGCUCUUCAGGCAUUCUAGAAUUUGGUAUAAUGGAGCCCAAUCAAUGAUGUGAGCUACUGAGCAAGUAACACAGCGUGAAUACGGGGAAAUAAUUGUGUCUUUCAGCAGGAAGGUGGAGCCAUUUUUCUAGAGAAAAGAAAUAAAGGCCUCAGAAGAAGGAUGCAGCAUUUCUCCUCACAUCGCUUUAUCUUGGAUGAUUUACCAUUGUGUUCUAGGGGAGUGAUUUUCAAAAAGAAUGAAUUUUGCAUUAAAUCCCGAGUAUGGUUGCUGCAGAAGAGAAGAUAUUUGCCUAUUCAGAUGAUGAGCUGGAUGCAUAAGUGAUCGCAUCAAUGGGUAAUGUGCACAUUCACUCAUGAGGAAAAAAUUUGCAUGCCCUAUAAAGACCUAAAAGUUGAACAUCUGGCCUUUUCUGUGGCACCUCAAUUUUGCAUCAAUGUCUUCUAUUCCUUGAAAGGUUUAUUCCUAAAACCGUCAGAUCAUCACAGUCUUGAUACAACAUUCACUGCACACUGUUGGUAAAUGAGCCGAGCUCAGCUGUGGUGGAAUGACUAAUUGUUUUGCAUUAGAGAUGUUACGUUCACCAGGAAGUCCUGGAGUUGUGCAUGGCUGGACAUGCAUGGCAGAAAGACUGGUGCUGUUCUUCUGCCGUGCACGAGGGACUGAGGACACACUGCUUUGUUAUAAUGGAAAAGUCAUUCAACUUCUGCAGCGUAGAACUCUUUUCUUCUAUCUAGCUCUUCGAUAUUGCAAAAAUACAUUGUUAUUACCAGUGUGAACCAGGAGAAAAGCCUUUGGCCCUGCCUGUGGCUGGGGGGUUGGAACUUGAUGAUCCCCGGGGCCCCUUCCAACCCAAGCCAUUCUAUGAUUGUGUGUUUCUAUGAAAAGAAGCAUGCUAAAAGUGAUAGAAAGCAAGAUAUCUUUCCUCUCAGCUUUGCCCUGCUGCCUGUACACCCAACUGAAGUCCCAUCCCUCUGGUUCCUGCUAGGAUUCUGGGAAAGCCCAAGCCUGUACUACCUGUCCGUAACACUGAAUAUUGUGAUAUUAUUUUUUCUGUGCUAUUGCCUUGCAAGCACGGAGUGAAAAUUGCACCUAACCAGAAAGACUGGUGGACCAGGCACUUCUCUUGUGUCUGCUGCUACCUGGCUGCUGAUGCAGAUCGUUGGUUUGCUGUGGGCGUUCACUCCUCUUCCACAUCUCAUUGCCUUUAUUUUUGUAAUUUCGCCCUUGCCCCAACCACUCCAAAUCCAGUUUGGGUUUGGACUGCGCAGCUCUGAUUAUGAGUCACAGCAAUAUUCUCACACAUCCCGGUAUAUUAGUUAGGGGACCUGUGAAACAGCAGUAGGACAGAAAGUUAUUAGUUGAAAUUCCCAAAUGAAGGCGCAAGUGCUGAGGAACUCGCUCUGCUUUUAUUUGCCCCAGCUGAGGCAGAAAUCUCAUGCAGCAUGAAUAAAUUGUUACCUGCUAGCUAAGAGAAGGGAGUUAUCCGCUGGGUUACAGCCAUCAGACUUACACUCCGGGUGCAGCCUAAGGGGCUCUCUGCUUUCAGACUAGCGGCCCAGUUUUGCAAGACUGCAACUUAGGAAAUUAAAUCUUAUCAAUCUUGAAGCACUUUUUCUCUGGAAGUCAGGGCCCGAGCGCACGGAGAUCCCUCGGAUGGGUUUUGGUCGCAGGACGAGUGGUGGGCUUAAAAUUAAAGUUACAAAGAAGCCAGUGCUUCUGAUGGCUUCUGGCCCUGCCAGCUGCUGGCAGAUGCUAAAUAAGGAGGGCCCAGGUGCUGCUAGAAGCAAGUGAUGGGGAAGAUAACAAGGGGGGUUACCAGCCAUUCCCUCCCAUGCAGAAAAG
ensembl:lncRNA